AGUGAACGCUGGCGGUAGGCCUAACACAUGCAAGUCGAACGGCAGCACAGUAAGAGCCUGCUCUUACGGGUGGCGAGUGGCGGACGGGUGAGGAAUACAUCGGAAUCUACUUUUUCGUGGGGGAUAACGUAGGGAAACCUACGCUAAUACCGCAUACGACCUACGGGUGAAAGCAGGGGAUCUUCGGACCUUGCGCGAUUGAAUGAGCCGAUGUCGGAUUAGCUAGUUGGCGGGGUAAAGGCCCACCAAGGCGACGAUCCGUAGCUGGUCUGAGAGGAUGAUCAGCCACACUGGAACUGAGACACGGUCCAGACUCCUACGGGAGGCAGCAGUGGGGAAUAUUGGACAAUGGGCGCAAGCCUGAUCCAGCCAUACCGCGUGGGUGAAGAAGGCCUUCGGGUUGUAAAGCCCUUUUGUUGGGAAAGAAAAGCAGCAGGUUAAUACCCCGCUGUUCUGACGGUACCCAAAGAAUAAGCACCGGCUAACUUCGUG
rnacentral:rRNA from 1 species